CUCUCAACCCCCUACAAUCAGAGAGAAAACUCUCUAAUGCAAGAACAUGCAUUAGCUUUGGAGAGUCUAGCAAAGGAAACAGAAUUUUAUUCCUCACAUGGCCUAACGUGAGCAAGUGGGCCUCUUUACAAGGAAAAACCACUGGGAGCUGAAAUGUCAACAUUCUUCACAGAAACCUGCAAAUAAUGAAACACAACUGUCUGGGAACCAAGGACCCCUCAAGUUCAGCGUAUCUGACAGGAGUAUGUUACAAUUUGAACUUGGCAGAAGAAAACUCAUCAUUGGACUACACUAAAACUGUGUAACAUUGCUUAAUUAUUCAAAAAAGUGCAUUAACUUCUUCCAAGGAGUUGCAAAAUGAAAAUAAAAUGGAAUAAAAUGUGAUACACUCAAAAAUCAUAAAACCGGGCCUACCAAAAUUUCUCCACGUGGUAGGUGCUCAAUAAACAUUUGCUGACUCAUUGAAAUCUCUUCCCAAUUAAUUUACCAAUAAAUGAAUAAAGUUAUUUAUGAUCAUGAUGGUAAUGGUUUA